CGGCGUCGAGCGGCGGACGGGUGAGUAAUGCCUAGGAAAUUGCCCUGGUGUGGGGGAUAACCAUUGGAAACGAUGGCUAAUACCGCAUAAUACCUACGGGUCAAAGAGGGGGACCUUCGGGCCUCUCGCGUCAGGAUAUGCCUAGGUGGGAUUAGCUAGUUGGUGAGGUAAUGGCUCACCAAGGCGACGAUCCCUAGCUGGUCUGAGAGGAUGAUCAGCCACACUGGAACUGAGACACGGUCCAGACUCCUACGGGAGGCAGCAGUGGGGAAUAUUGCACAAUGGGCGCAAGCCUGAUGCAGCCAUGCCGCGUGUGUGAAGAAGGCCUUCGGGUUGUAAAGCACUUUCAGUCGUGAGGAAGGUAGUGUAGUUAAUAGCUGCAUUAUUUGACGUUAGCGACAGAAGAAGCACCGGCUAACUCCGUGCCAGCAGCCGCGGUAAUACGGAGGGUGCGAGCGUUAAUCGGAAUUACUGGGCGUAAAGCGCAUGCAGGUGGUUUGUUAAGUCAGAUGUGAAAGCCCGGGGCUCAACCUCGGAAUAGCAUUUGAAACUGGCAGACUAGAGUACUGUAGAGGGGGGUAGAAUUUCAGGUGUAGCGGUGAAAUGCGUAGAGAUCUGAAGGAAUACCGGUGGCGAAGGCGGCCCCCUGGACAGAUACUGACACUCAGAUGCGAAAGCGUGGGGAGCAAACAGGAUUAGAUACCCUGGUAGUCCACGCCGUAAACGAUGUCUACUUGGAGGUUGUGGCCUUGAGCCGUGGCUUUCGGAGCUAACGCGUUAAGUAGACCGCCUGGGGAGUACGGUCGCAAGAUUAAAACUCAAAUGAAUUGACGGGGGCCCGCACAAGCGGUGGAGCAUGUGGUUUAAUUCGAUGCAACGCGAAGAACCUUACCUACUCUUGACAUCCAGAGAACUUUCCAGAGAUGGAUUGGUGCCUUCGGGAACUCUGAAAACAGGGGCUGCAUGGCUGUCGUCAGCUCGUGUUGUGAAAUGUUGGGUUAAGUCCC
rnacentral:rRNA from 1 species